GCCCAAAUGACAUGCAAAGGGAAGAGGAGGGAUUUCACGAUGAACUCGGGCGGAUUUCACACAAAUAAGAAUAAAAAUAAAAAUUAGUAUUGUGUCAUGACAAUAACCAAAGUAUAAAAAGAAUAAAAAUAAAAGAACACAAACACUGUGCUAUCUCAUGUUCGGAAUGCGACUACUCAACAAUCGAAAUUCAAGAUAUGCCCAAUUAACUCAUUUUUCUCGGGUAGACAAAAUACAUUAAUUCUAAUUCAUGAACUUUCCCAGACUCAAUUAUUAUUAAGAGGAAAAUUUUAGCAUAUGAAGCAGUAAAUGAUCCAGGCGGCCUAACUUUGCUUUAAAAAUAAGCUAUAAUAAACAAGCAAAACAAAAUAAAUUUAGACUACUAACUAAGCCCACCCAGUAGCUAUAAUCAAGGCAAGAGACACUCAUGCUACUUUUGAAUCCCAAAGAAAAGCAUACUGAACAAAAUAGUAGAUAGGAUUUAGCCACUACUAUUCACCAAAAAUAAAUAAAUUUUCCAAACAUAUAUAACAACAAAAGAUGGGCAAUCGAAGGUAACAAAAAAAAUAUCACAAUACGAUCUAGCACAAAUUCACAUGUAGUCAUGAAAUCGACGAUCUAAAAACCUUAUUAAACUUUACUCUAGACAGCUAUUUAACUCCAAAAUAAGCAUAAUUCAGACCUACACUAACUCACCUAGAUAUAUAGUAUUAAAGAGAUGGGUCAAGCAAUUUCACAAGGCAUACUUAAUCUCAACAAGAUCAAAC
rnacentral:lncRNA from 1 species